CAAAUUUGAAACGUUCUGUUUAAUUUUACUCUUUGCUCUUCUCAAUCCCUAACAAGAAAACGGGAGAGGGUUCACUUCGAACUCCAUUUCUGACCUGAGGGGCCGUAAAAGGAGACGGGGACAGCAGUGCCGGCGAAGGCCAGGAUGACGUCAAGAGAUCGAACCGUCGCCUGGGGCGAUUUCAUUUUCGAAGCUCUUCGCAUGUGCUGACCGCUUCGAUUGGUUCCUCAUGACCGUCGGCUCCCUUGCUGCCGCGGCUCAUGGCACCGCGCUCGUCAUUUACUUGCACUAUUUCGCGAAGAUCAUUCACGUGCUGCGGAUGGAUCUUAAACUCGGCACGUCACAUGAGCAGUUUAACAGGUUCACCGAGGACUAAGUAAAGGGUGGACGUCGUGGAAAAACUAUUAACAUCUUUUCAAUUGCUUCUGGACACCUACAUUGAAGACACUAGAAGGAACUGGGCUUCUUUUAUUUUAAGUGUUAGUAGAAACUUGGCUACUAUGUACAUUAAUGUAAUAUUUGGAUUCAAUAUAUAGUUUAAUGUAUAAAUGAUGUAUUAAAUAUUAUUAGACUAUUUAAUGUUUGAAAUGAAUUUUAUUUUGUUAGUUUCA